UACGUAGGGGGGCAAGCGUUGUCCGGAUUUAUUGGGCGUAAAGAGCGUGUAGGCGGUCAGGUAGGUCCGUUGUGAAAACUCGAGGCUCAACCUCGAGACGCCGAUGGAAACCGUCUGGCUAGAGUCCGGAAGAGGAGAGUGGAAUUCCUGGUGUAGCGGUGAAAUGCGCAGAUAUCAGGAAGAACACCCGUGGCUAAGGCGGCUCUCUAGUACGGUACUGACGCUGAGACGCGAAAGCGUGGGGAGCGAACAGG
rnacentral:rRNA from 1 species